GUCCGCCGUUUACAUCCCUCCUCUCGGUUUCUCUUUAUCUCUCCCUUUCUCUCUAACUCUCUCUCGCCACUGUUCUUAUUUCGAGAGAAAAAUAUUUAUCCAAAUCUCUCGGUUGGUUCGGAUUCAGGUUCCCUUCAAAUUCGAAACCCUAGGUUUCAGAGAAAAAUCGCAAAUGGUCAUCGGAAGAACUUCCGUCGCUGCGAGAGAUUUCCAGAUUGUUCCGGUGGCGGAGAUGGAGCCGUUGUCUUCUGACCAUCAUUCACCUGAGUGCCUUUCAUGGAAACAGAUGGUCAGCAAAUUGGUGCUGCAAAUUGAAAUCUCUGGUGUGGAAUGGCGACAGUGCCAUAAUUAGAUCAGUGCUUGAUGACAUUACUCAAAAGUAUAGUCGUCCGUAUAAGGUUGCUACUUCAUACAAUAAGGAAUGAUGGGGAAUAGUACACUAUGAAGUUAAAUUUAUUAAGAGUAUAGAACAUUGUAGAUGACUAUAGUCAUAUACAGUAACAUUACUACAUGUUACUGUAGUCGACUAUAGUUAUAUAUAGUAACAUUACUACAUGUUACUGUAGUCGACUAUAGUCAUAUAUAGUAACAUUACUACAUGUUACUGUAGUCGACUAUAGUCAUAUAUAGUAACAUUACUACAUGCUACUGUAGUUGACUAUAGUCAUAUAUAGUAGUAACAUAUAGCAACAUGUAGUCAUGUGUGGGCUAUGUGUUUUUUUUAAAUGAAGAGUGAUGAUGAUUUGUUUUUUGUUGAAGAACAUGUGCAUGUUAUUGUGUAUUUCAAUCUAUAUUUGUACAUAUUGAUUUAUAAAAUCAAGAUUUAAAUUGUGAUCUU